rnacentral:misc_RNA from 1 species
GAUGAAGAACGUAGCGAAAUGCGAUAAGUAAUGUGAAUUGCAGAAUUCAGUGAAUCAUCGAAUCUUUGAACGCACAUUGCGCCCGCCAGUAUUCUGGCGGGCAUGCCUGUUCGAGCGUCAUUUCAACCAUCAAGCCCCCGGCUUGUGUUGGGGACCUGCGGCUGCCGCAGGCCCUGAAAAGCAGUGGCGGGCUCGCUGUCACACCGAGCGUAGUAGCAUACAUCUCGCUCUGGGCGUGCUGCGGGUUCCGGCCGUUAAACCACCUUCAUAACCCAAGGUUGACCUCGGAUCAGGUAGGAAGACCGCUGAACUUAAGCAUAUCAAUAAGCGGAGGA